rnacentral:rRNA from 1 species
UACGAAGGGGGCUAGCGUUGCUCGGAAUCACUGGGCGUAAAGCGCACGUAGGCGGAUCGUUAAGUCGGGGGUGAAAUCCUGGAGCUCAACUCCAGAACUGCCUUCGAUACUGGCGAUCUUGGAGUCCGGGAGAGGUGAGUGGAACUCCGAGUGUAGAGGUGAAAUUCGUAGAUAUUCGGAAGAACACCAGUGGCGAAGGCGGCUCACUGGCCCGGUACUGACGCUGAGGUGCGAAAGCGUGGGGAGCGAACAGG